rnacentral:rRNA from 1 species
GAUGAACGCUGGCGGCGUGCCUAAUACAUGCAAGUCGAGCGAACAGACGAGGAGCUUGCUCCUCUGACGUUAGCGGCGGACGGGUGAGUAACACGUGGAUAACCUACCUAUAAGACUGGGAUAACUUCGGGAAACCGGAGCUAAUACCGGAUAAUGUAUUGAACCGCAUGGUUCAAUAGUGAAAGACGGUUUUGCUGUCACUUAUAGAUGGAUCCGCGCCGCAUUAGCCAGUUGGUAAGGUAACGGCUUACCAAGGCAACGAUGCGUAGCCGACCUGAGAGGGUGAUCGGCCACACUGGAACUGAGACACGGUCCAGACGCCUACGGGAGGCAGCAGUAGGGAAUCUUCCGCAAUGGGCGAAAGCCUGAAGGAGCAACGCAGCGUGAGUGAUGAAGGUCUUCGGAUCGUAAAACUCUGUUAUUAGGGAAGAACAAAUGUGUAAGUAACUAUGCACGUCUUGAAGGUACCUAAUCAGAAAGCCACGGCUAACUACGUG